rnacentral:lncRNA from 1 species
CAUUCAUCAACUUCAGGAAAGAGGAUCCCCAAUUACCCUUCAACCAAUUCAUCAUAGUUGCAUCAAAUUCAUUCAUUGUUCAUCUCCAAUCACACUCCCUGAAUUCGAUUCUUUCAACCAAUUCAGAACCACUCAUCAAUUUUUCAUUCAAUCAUCUUCAACUCUCUCAUAAUCCAUUUUCCACAAAAUUCAUCAUCACUGAAUCCUC